rnacentral:rRNA from 2 species
UAAGACUGGGAUAACUCCGGGAAACCGGAGCUAAUACCGGAUAGUUCCUUGAACCGCAUGGUUCAAGGAUGAAAGACGGUUUCGGCUGUCACUUACAGAUGGACCCGCGGCGCAUUAGCUAGUUGGUGAGGUAACGGCUCACCAAGGCGACGAUGCGUAGCCGACCUGAGAGGGUGAUCGGCCACACUGGGACUGAGACACGGCCCAGACUCCUACGGGAGGCAGCAGUAGGGAAUCUUCCGCAAUGGACGAAAGUCUGACGGAGCAACGCCGCGUGAGUGAUGAAGGUUUUCGGAUCGUAAAGCUCUGUUGUUAGGGAAGAACAAGUGCAAGAGUAACUGCUUGCACCUUGACGGUACCUAACCAGAAAGCCACGGCUAACUACGUGCCAGCAGCCGCGGUAAUACGUAGGUGGCAAGCGUUGUCCGGAAUUAUUGGGCGUAAAGGGCUCGCAGGCGGUUUCUUAAGUCUGAUGUGAAAGCCCCCGGCUCAACCGGGGAGGGUCAUUGGAAACUGGGAAACUUGAGUGCAGAAGAGGAGAGUGGAAUUCCACGUGUAGCGGUGAAAUGCGUAGAGAUGUGGAGGAACACCAGUGGCGAAGGCGACUCUCUGGUCUGUAA